rnacentral:rRNA from 1 species
AACGAACGCUGGCGGCAUGCCUAACACAUGCAAGUCGAACGAGACCUUCGGGUCUAGUGGCGCACGGGUGCGUAACGCGUGGGAACCUGCCCUUAGGUUCGGAAUAACUCCCCGAAAGGGGUGCUAAUACCGGAUAAUGUCUUCGGACCAAAGAUUUAUCGCCUUUGGAUGGGCCCGCGUUGGAUUAGCUAGUUGGUAGGGUAAAAGCCUACCAAGGCGACGAUCCAUAGCUGGUCUGAGAGGAUGAUCAGCCACACUGGGACUGAGACACGGCCCAGACUACUACGGGAGGCAGCAGUGGGGAAUAGUGGAAAAUGGGCGAAAGGCUGAUCAAGCAAUGCCGCGUGAGUGAUGAAGGACUUAGGGUUGUAAAGCUCUUUUACCCGGGAUGAUAAUGACAGUACCGGGAGAAUAAGCACCGGCUAACUCCGUG